rnacentral:rRNA from 1 species
CAUCGCUCCUUGUUAUAAAUAAAAUCAAAUAAGGAGUACUGCCUGCCCAGUGAACAUAAAACUUUUAACGGCCGCGGUAUCUUGACCGUGCAAAGGUAGCAUAAUAAUUUGCUCUUUAAUUGAGGGCUAGUAUGAAAGGCAAGACGAAAGCAAAACUGUCUCCCUAAUAAAAAAAGAAAUUAAUAUUUUAGUGAAGAAGCUAAAAUAAAAACGCUAGACGAGAAGACCCUGUCGAGCUUAAGAAAAUCCUUAUUUAUUAAAAAGAAAAGCUAAUCAUUUAAUUUAAUAAAAAUACUUUUUAAAUAAAAAAAAUAAAGAUAUCUUUGGUUGGGGCAACCACGAAGAAAAUAUAACCUUCGAUUUUUAUUAAAAAUAAACAAAUUUAAAAACUAAUAUAGUUUAAAUGAUCCGGAAUUACCGAUCAAAGAAAAAAGUUACCGCAGGGAUAACAGCGUUAUUCUCUUUAAGAGCUCGUAUUGACAAGAGAGUUUGCGACCUCGAUGUUGGACCGAGGCACCCAAGAGAUGCAGAAGUCUCUAAAGGUAGGUCUGUUCGACCUUUAAAGCCCUACGUGA